rnacentral:rRNA from 1 species
UGCGUAGGUGGUUUCUCAAGUCAGAGGUGAAAGGCUACGGCUCAACCGUAGUAAGCCUUUGAAACUGGGAAACUUGAGUGCAGGAGAGGAGAGUGGAAUUCCUAGUGUAGCGGUGAAAUGCGUAGAUAUUAGGAGGAACACCAGUUGCGAAGGCGGCUCUCUGGACUGUAACUGACACUGAGGCACGAAAGCGUGGGGAGCAAACA